rnacentral:rRNA from 1 species
CAGUUCGGAUUGAAGGCUGAAAUUCGCCUUCAUGAAGCUGGAAUUGCUAGUAAUGGCAGGUCAGCAUACUGCCGUGAAUACGUUCCCGGGCCUUGUACACACCGCCCGUCACACCAUGAGAGUUGGGAAUACCCGAAGCCUGUGAGCUAACUGUAAGGAGGCAGCAGUCGAAGGUAGAAUCAAUGAUUGGGGUGAAGUCGUAACAAGGUAAC